UACGUAGGGACCAAGCGUUGUUCGGAUUUACUGGGCGUAAAGGGCGCGUAGGCGGCUUGUCAAGUCACUUGUGAAAUCUCUGGGCUUAACCCAGAACGGCCAAGUGAAACUGACAUGCUAGAGUGCAGAAGGGCAAUCGGAAUUCUUGGUGUAGCGGUGAAAUGCGUAGAGUAUCAAGAGGAACACCUGAGGUGAAGACGGGUUGCUGGCCGACACUGACGCUGAGUGCGCGAAAGCCAGGGAGCAAACGGG
rnacentral:rRNA from 1 species